rnacentral:tRNA from 1 species
CGGGGCAUAGCACAGUUGGUAGCGCGCUACGUUCGGGACGUAGAGGUCGGAAGUUCGAGUCUUCUUACCCCGA